UUUCCGUAGGUGAACCUGCGGAAGGAUCAUUCAUAAUCAGUGUUUUACUGCACUUUUUAAAAAUAGUACUCACCUUGUGUGCAACGUCGUGUUUCUUUUCGGAGACACACCUACACCACCCUAUAACCUUGAACCACUUUGUCUGAAAAACUAUUAUGAAUACUUACAUCAAAAUACAACUUUCAACAACGGAUCUCUUGGCUCUC
rnacentral:misc_RNA from 1 species